GAUGAACGCUGGCGGCGUGCCUAAUACAUGCAAGUCGAGCGAACAGACGAGGAGCUUGCUCCUCUGACGUUAGCGGCGGACGGGUGAGUAACACGUGGGUAACCUACCUAUAAAACUGGGAUAACUUCGGGAAACCGGAGCUAAUACCGGAUAAUAUAUUUAACCGCAUGGUUCAAUAGUGAAAGACGGUUUUGCUGUCACUUAUAGAUGGAUCCGCGCCGCAUUAGCUAGUUGGUAAGGUAACGGCUUACCAAGGCAACGAUGCGUAGCCGACCUGAGAGGGUGAUCGGCCACACUGGAACUGAGACACGGUCCAGACUCCUACGGGAGGCAGCAGUAGGGAAUCUUCCGCAAUGGGCGAAAGCUUGACGGAGCAACGCCGCGUGAGUGAUGAAGGUCUUCGGAUCGUAAAACUCUGUUAUUAGGGAAGAACAAAUGUGUAAGUAACUAUGCACGUCUUGACGGUACCUAAUCAGAAAGCCACGGCUAACUACGUG
rnacentral:rRNA from 1 species